AUACGGAGGAUCCGAGCGUUAUCCGGAUUUAUUGGGUUUAAAGGGUGCGUAGGCGGGCUCAUAAGUCAGCGGUGAAAUUUUGCGGCUCAACCGUAACACUGCCGUUGAAACUGUUUGCCUUGAAUUUAGUUGAAGUGGGCGGAAUGUGUUGUGUAGCGGUGAAAUGCUUAGAUAUAACACGGAACACCGAUUGCGAAGGCAGCCCACUAAGCUAUGAUUGACGCUGAUGCACGAAAGCGUGGGUAGCGAACAGGAUUAGAUACCCUGGUAGUCCACGCCGUAAACGAUGAUCACUCGUUGUCGGCGAUACACCGUCGGCGACCGAGCGAAAGCAUUAAGUGAUCCACCUGGGGAGUACGUUGGCAACAAUGAA
rnacentral:rRNA from 1 species